rnacentral:misc_RNA from 1 species
UUCAUGAAAUGAAUAUUUCCUCCUCAAGCCUGGAAUAAAGGCACCCAUUACCAUGACAGGAAGCACCUUGGUUGAUUUGAACAUGAUUUGGGCUGGAUAGUUAAGGAAGGCCAAGGAACCCUUGGUCAAUCCAUGAGAACCCAUAAGGACAGCAGAGAGUUUCACAUAAGUUUUCCAUGGGUUCACCAUUUGCUUAACGGUGAAACCCUGAAAGUAUAUGAGCACCAGGUACACUAAUCCUUGCACAAAAGUAAAAUCCCAGCCAUAGCUGAACUGAAGCCGGUUAUACACAUAUUCC